GGAAAACAAGCAGGUUGCCAGCAAUCCUGCAUUCCCUAGAGUGGAGAGGAAUGAAAGGAGCAAAUGGCACCGCUGUCCUCCCAACUGCUCUUUGUUUAUGACAGGAACCAUGUCUGCAUGUUUUCAUCACUAUCACCCCAUGGGAACUUGAC
rnacentral:lncRNA from 12 species